GUUGUCUUCCUCAUCCCGGCUUGCGUCAACAACAUCCGCACGGCGCUGAUUAACGCGCAGAAGGGCAAUCAAUCGGUGGCCGCCUACUUCGCCAUCAUGAGGGGCCUUCCCGAUGAGCUCGCCGCGGCGGGAAAACCUAUCCAGGACGACGAGCUCAUGUCCUACAUCAUCCACGAGCUGGACCAAGACUACCAGCCCCUUGUCUCUACUUUGGACGCCCGCGUCACUCCGGUAACUCUUGACGAGCUCUUUGCCAUGCUUAGAAACUUUGAUCAGCGCAUGGCGCAGUACCACGGCUCCGGCGGCGGCUUCAAGUCGUCGGCAAACUCCGUCUCCAGAGGCCGCUAUGGCAGCUCUCGCUCUCGUGCCUCCUCUCGUGGCAAGGGGAGGUUCGGAUCUGGCGGUGGCGGCUACUCCAACAACGCUCGUGGCGGCGGACGCUCCGGCAGCUCCAAAGGGCGUCGUGGCGGCGGCUCCAACAGAUCUCGCCUGGACUUGCCUCGCUGCCAAAUUUGUGGCAAGCCUGGUCAUACGGCGAAGGACUGUUGGUACCGC
rnacentral:rRNA from 1 species